rnacentral:rRNA from 1 species
CCUACGGGAGGCAGCAGUGAGGGAUAUUGGUCAAUGGGGGAAACCCUGAACCAGCAACGCCGCGUGAGGGAAGACGGUUUUCGGAUUGUAAACCUCUGUCCUCUGUGAAGAUAAUGACGGUAGCAGAGGAGGAAGCUCCGGCUAACUCCGUGCCAGCAGCCGCGGUAAUACGGAGGAUGCGAGCGUUAUCCGGAUUUAGUGGGUUUAAAGGGUGCGCAGGCGGAAUGUCAAGUCAGUGGUAAAAUUUCGGGGCUCAACCCCGUCGUGCCGUUGAAACUGGCGUUCUUGAGUGAGCGAGAAGUAUGCGGAAUGCGUGGUGUAGCGGUGAAAUGCAUAGAUAUCACGCAGAACUCCGAUUGCGAAGGCAGCAUACCGGCGCUCAACUGACGCUCAUGCACGAAAGCGUGGGUAUCGAACAGGAUUAGAUACCCUAGUAGUC